AAAAGAGCUCCGCUUCUCUCAACAAUGGAGGUGCCUUACCAACGCCAGAGGGAGGAGGAAUCAAGGAGUCUGUUUCAUGGGGGACUCAACGGACUCAGGAUGUGUUUUACGAAACGAGGACACCAGCAUUUGAGCGUGGCCAUUCAGAAGAAAUUCCCACUGAGCAGACAAGCAAACAGGUAGUAGAAAUGCGAGAGAUCAGUCCAACAAUGGCCAAUGGUGAGCACCAGCCUGGCCUGGAGAGCCAGGGGCGAGCUGCCUCCAUGCCCCGCCUGGCAGCAGAAACUCAGGUGAGCGCAGGAGGCUUAACUGGCAAUGGAAGACUUACAGUAAGUCAGCGAUUUAACACCUUCUUUCUGUCUGUUUGUCUGGAAGACCUUUGGGAGGUUUAUCAAUGUGAGUGCUGCAGUGGGCAAUUUGAUUAUGCAUUUACCGAUCACAUAAAAAAUUGUGGUGUGAUCUGGAGCAAGCAUUCCCCGUUACAGACAGCUUCUCUGAGAUCCAUCCGCAGUCAACAGAAAAGCAACAGGCUCCAGAUCCUACUUGCUAGGCAACUUUGUUUGCUGGUUUUGUGGUAUGUAAGUAUGCAUCUAAUC